AUAUUUACCUGUCAGUGGAGUUACCAUGAUCAUGAAGGUGGUUUUCUUAGGGCCAGGCUUAAUCAUUACACUUCAGAUAUGCUGACCCCUGUGAUUUCUCCAAAUGUGGGAUACUUGACUGCAUGAUAAGUGGUAGUGGGGGACUGCCUCUGUGCUCUCUCCUG